ensembl:misc_RNA Metazoa_SRP Metazoan signal recognition particle RNA
GCUGGGUAUGGUGGCGCAUGCCUGUAAUCCCAGCUACUCGGAGGCCGAGGCGGGAGAAUCGCUUGAACCUGGGAGGCAGAGGUUGCAGUGAGCUGAGAUCGCGCCACUGCACUCCAGCCUGGAUGACAGAGGGAGACCCUGUCUCAA